rnacentral:rRNA from 1 species
GCCAUUCGCCCUUCGGGGUGCACCAGGCGCGAAAACUUUACAAUGCUGGCAACAGCGAUAAGGGGACCUUGAGUGCCAGGAUACAAUCCUGGCUGUCGUGAUGCCUAAAAAGCAUUAUAUAGCAAGGGCCGGGCAAGACCGGUGCCAGCCGCCGCGGUAACACCGGCGGCUCGAGUGGUAACCGCUAUUAUUGGGUCUAAAGGGUCUGUAGCCGGCUUGGUUAGUCUCUUGGGAAAUCCGGCAGCUUAACUGUCGGGCUUUCAGGAGAUACUGCCAGGCUCGAGACCGGGAGAGGUGAGAGGUACUUCAUGGGUAGGGGUGAAAUCUUGUAAUCCUUGAAGGACCACCAGUGGCGAAGGCGUCUCACCAGAACGGAUCUGACGGCAAGGGACGAAAGCUAGGGGCACGAACCGGAUUAGAUACCCGGGUAGUCCUAGCCGUAAACGAUACUCGCUAGGUGUCGGCCACGGUGCGACCGUGGUCGGUGCCGUAGGGAAGCCGUGAAGCGAGCCACCUGGGAAGUACGGCCGCAAGGCUGAAACUUAAAGGAAUUGGCGGGGGAGCAC